UACGUAGGGGGCAAGCGUUGUCCGGAAUCAUUGGGCGUAAAGAGCGCGUAGGCGGCCCAGUAAGUCCGCUGUGAAAGUCAGAGGCUCAACCUCUGGAUGCCGGUGGAUACUGCUGGGCUAGAGUCCGGAAGAGGCGAGUGGAAUUCCUGGUGUAGCGGUGAAAUGCGCAGAUAUCAGGAGGAACACCGAUGGCGAAGGCAGCUCGCUGGGACGGUACUGACGCUGAGACGCGAAAGCGUGGGGAGCGAACAGG
rnacentral:rRNA from 1 species